AUUGAACGCUGGCGGCAGGCCUAACACAUGCAAGUCGAACGGUAACAGGAAGAAGCUUGCUUCUUUGCUGACGAGUGGCGGACGGGUGAGUAAUGUCUGGGAAACCGCCUGAUGGAGGGGGAUAACAACUGGAAACGGUAGCUAAUACCGCAUAACGUCGCAAGACCAAAGAGGGGGACCUUUGGGGCUCUUGCCAUCGGAUGUGCCCAGAUGGGAUUAGCUAGUAGGUGGGGUAACGGCUCACCUAGGCGACGAUCCCUAGCUGGUCUGAGAGGAUGACCAGCCACACUGGAACUGAGACACGGUCCAGACUCCUACGGGAGGCAGCAGUGGGGAAUAUUGCACAAUGGGCGCAAGCCUGAUGCAGCCAUGCCGCGUGUAUGAAGAAGGCCUUCGGGUUGUAAAGUACUUUCAGCGGGGAGGAAGGGAGUAAAGUUAAUACCUUUGCUCAUUGACGUUACCCGCAGAAGAAGCACCGGCUAACUCCGUG
rnacentral:rRNA from 1 species